UACGUAGGGUCCGAGCGUUGUCCGGAAUUAUUGGGCGUAAAGGGCUCGUAGGCGGCCAACUAAGUCAGACGUGAAAUCCCUCGGCUUAACCGGGGAACUGCGUCUGAUACUGGAUGGCUUGAGUUUGGGAGAGGGAUGCGGAAUUCCAGGUGUAGCGGUGAAAUGCGUAGAUAUCUGGAGGAACACCGGUGGCGAAGGCGGCAUCCUGGACCAACACUGACGCUGAGUGAGCGAAAGCCAGGGGAGCAAACGGG
rnacentral:rRNA from 1 species